CUGUGAGGCAUCGCAGCUCAUAACAUAAGGCCUUUUACAGUAAGUAAACGCUUGUUUUUGUACUGAUUACUAUAAUAGAUUGAAUCUAACAUAGUGACUCUGGCCAAUAAACUUUUAUAGCCAGUACAGACGGUGCCUUUCUGCUGAUAGAGGUCAGUGUUUUUCUCUUCCACACACGUUUUAUACGCAGUGUGUGUUUGGAGGCUGAUUAUAACGCUUGAAACUAAACUCCAAAGAAUUCUGCACUUAGAAAUGGAGGCACGAACCUUUACAGGCUGACUUUUAUCUCAG